UUAUUGCUUCUUAAACCGAUUACAUUUCUGUGUGUGACGGGGAACCUGAAGGGGCCCCCCUACUGAAACGGCCCAGGGCCGUACAUUAGUUACACCCAACCCUGAUCCAAACUCAUGUUGGAUUUUGACUCUUUUUCAAAGCUGAAACCAGAACUGCUGCUUCGCUCAGCCAAUCACGUCAUCCGGUGUCAGACUAAAAUAUGGAGCCAAACAGGUCCGACCACCGCGGAGAUGAGCUCAGUGACAGAAAGGUUCUGAGAGAGACGCCGGUUCCAGUUCUGGACUGUCGCAUGGAGGCCUGACUGCUGCCUUUCCGUCACCUUGUUUCCUUUUCCAGGUGAAGGAUGAAGAAAAACCAAGCCGGCUCCAGUCUGACUUCAGAUUUCAGAGCACAUCCCAAAAGGACCAGGAUGGAGCAGUGAAACAGAACAUUAAAACCUAGAAGCGCAGAAGGUGUUAAAAAAAAAUGAGUGCCGCUAAAGAAGCUUCAAAGCAAAGUGAGCAGAAGCAGCUUGAAACACGGGGGGGUGAUGGCCCCGGGCCAGAGGAGCCGGGCGAUAAAGACGAGCAGGGCAACGAUUUCCCUAAAAUGAGGCAAACAGCAAAAUCAGCAACCAGUCCUAUGACUCUGAUCAAAGAGGAAGUGAAAAAAAUGUUCAAGGACAAAGAUUCGGAUGCCAAACCGAGCCAAUCGGCAGAGAAGAUUAACAACCCUUUGACUUUUCUAAAAGAGGACCUCAACAGCUUAAAGGAGGGACUCUCCAACAUUUUUAGAGUUGGUCCUUCACGAGAUCGAGAGAAGAAGAACGUAGCAGAGAAGGAAGCCUCCGGGAAGGAGCCCAGGACGCAAUCCUCCACAGCAGAGAGAGCAGAUGAACCUUUCAGGAAUCUCUUCAGAAGAGACAAGCCUCCCCCAAAGGCUGCUCAAACAAACCACAGGGAGGAAGCAACAACGACCAAAGCCUUAGAAAUAAAUCCAACCGAACAAAACCAAGAAAAAACGGAGAAAUCUGAGAGCGCCGCAGCAAACGGUCUGAAUAAGUCCGAGGUCAGUCAGCUGACUGGUUCUGGUCCUGAGAGGAAAACCCAGGAGAGUUCGCCCCCAACGCGACAAAGCGAGAAGAUGUUUGCAUCAAAGAUAUCUACAGCUUCUGAAAACCGUCAGACUAAACGCUGUCUGGACGGC